UAGCAGUAUAUAAGGUGUUAAAGAGUCUAUCCAUUAGAAAUUUAAAAUCUAUACCCAAAGAAUAAUUUGUGAAUCCAGUCACUCAGCAUAUAUUUAUUGAGUGUUUAUUACGUACUAGGUACUGGAGUGACAAAAAAUGAAUAAGAUGUAGCUCCUGCCUUGAGGGGUAGCACGUGAUUUCCUCAAGACCCUAUAUUAGUGUGUGUCUCAUAACAUUCAGGAGUCAGCCAGGAGUUACACUGAUCAUAAAUCGAUAACCUCAUUUCAGAGCUCAAACACGGAGAUGGCAAAUAAAACCCAAGCCUGCCCUGGGCAGUAUUGACUGAAGCAAAAAAUGACUUCUAAUAAUAGGAGGCAAUGAAUAAUUUUGCUCCAAGAGUGAAAGAAAAUUCUGCUUUGUCUCAAUCCCUUUCACUUAAAUAGCAUUUGGAUUUCUUAAAAAUCCUCAAAGUUUGUAUUAAAGCACUGUCCAUUAAUACUUUGCUUGGCUUAGAAGGGCAAGAUCUUAGAGAUGUUUUCUUGGGGAAGAGAGUGGGUUUGAGAGGACAGUUGUCUUUUAGUUGCAGUUGCAUAACUGAUCAUCCAGUUUUCUAUUUCUCCUUUAUUUGUAAUAGUUUCUGAAUAAUACCAGAAGCUAACAUGUCAAAGCUUUUAAGGACUUGGAAGACUUGGGGCGGUUGAGGCCAUGUAGCAAAAUUGUUAGGAACCCUACUCUGGGGACAGUUGGCCUGCAUUCCAAGCCCAUUUGGGUCGUAUAUUCAAGGUGUGAUGUUGGGCAAGUUACCAAACCUCUGAGUGCCUAGUUUCCUCAUUACUAAUAUGGUAUAAUAAUAGUAUUAUGUCUUAGGGUUUUUGUGAGGAUUAAAUGAUGAUAUUAAAUUCUCAGAACAAUGCUAAUCCAUGGUAAGUGCUAAAAAUGUUAUUUAUUGUAUCCCAACUCUUAAAGUACAAAGAUAGUCUUGAAGAGAAUUGUCAUCCACCUUCUCAUUCUCCUUUUAUUCCUCAUAAAGCCACUAGCUAAGUUGGAAGUGGGUAAUGAUGAUGCCAGAUAAUUAAAUGGAAAAUAAAAGAUAUUUCUCAAGCAUGAACAAAAUUAUGAAUAAUCUAUAGGGUGAUUAAAAUUGUGAUUCAGCAAUAACAAUUUGGGGAAAUUUAUCAGUGUAACACAUGUGGGAAUGAUGUUUAGGCAAUAAUUAAUUUUAAUCAAAAAAAUUAUAUUUGAUACUUAUCAUUAUUUUGCUCUUUUUUUUAAGGUCUGUACCUAUGGCAUAUGAAAGUUCCCAGGCUAGAGGCCAAAUUGGAGCUACAGCUGCUGGCCUGUACCACAGUCACAGCAACGUGGGAUCCAAGUUGCAUCUGUGCUCUACAGCACAGCUCAUGGCAAUGCUGGAUCCUUAACCCAUUGAGCAAGGCCAGGGAUCAAACCCGCAUCCUCAUGGAUACUAGUCAGCUUCAUAACCCACUAAGCCACAAUGGGAACUCCUGAUAUUCAUUAUUUAUUCAUUUAUAUUUAUUUAUCUUAUAUGUCUGUUUAUGUUCAUGAAUGCCUUUUUGCCCUGAAAAUAAUCUAAGACAGCUUAUAAAGAUAUAUAUAAUAUAACAAGAUAAUAUUCAGUUGAAAUUAUUAGGGAAAAUAGGAUAAAGGGAAAAUAAAGGUAUGAAAAGAAGGAGACAGCUUUCUGAUACAAUGUACCUUGAAGUCCCAUGCCCUUGCUAUUUGUGGUCUCUCAUGUUGGUUCUAAGAUGUCUAGUGGACAACUUUAAGGAAAGAAAUGACAGUGAUGAUACAGGUCAUUAAAUCAGUAUAUAAAAUAAACAAUUUACUCAGGAAAAAUGACAAUCAGUACUGGUACUGUGAUAAGAAUAAUUGCUUUUGUUCAGUUUUAAAAUUAAUCUGAAACUUGGAACAUAGUCAUUAAUAGAUUCAUAUAGUAACUGUUUAUGUAGCCCCUGCACAGAGAAAUUAUGGGUUUAGGUGCUACAGAGGACAGAGCGAGGUCUGAAACUGUCCCAGCUCUCAAAGAAAAUGCAUCCAAUAGAGAGUAAAAGUAAUAUAUCAAUAAACUAAGUUUAAGGUAGAUAAUAAUGGUGAGCAGUACACCUGUGGUGUUAAAAAAAGUAAUUUAAAUAUCAUAGCAAUCUAUGGAUGACCCCAGAAAACACUGUAACAAAAGAUUCUUUGUACUUUCUAAUAUAUUAACUAUGCUAAUUUCUUGAUGGUGGUUUUUAAAUCCUUAAUGAUUCUCAAAAGCGGAUUUCAAAAGCCACAGAGUGCGCUCUAAUACAUAGCCAACUCAGAAUAUUAAAGGUAGUUGGAGGAAGAUUUGGUAUAGACACUAGAAACCUGUGGAUAGUUCUAUCCCCUGACUCUUAGAUCAUGAACUUAUAAACCUCACAUUAAUCCUCACAUUCAAGCCUCACAUUAAUCCUUCAUCUUAAAUUGUCAAAAAUUGUUUCUACAGUUUUCAGUGAGAGCAAAGCAAAAAUCCAUUCUUUUCCUAACGUGCAUGUGCAUUUAUUCUAUACAUUCAUUCAGUGUUAUUGGAUAUUUAUAUACUUGGAGUAUAUAGGGCAUAGAAUUACCACAAAAGUGAAAUUUUGUUCUUUUCCAGAAGGGAAAGGAUUCAUUGUUUAAGUGGGAAGACAGAUGUAUAAACAAGUAAAUUAUGGCAACAUGACAAAUGCCAAUAGACAUAUAUAAGAAGGGAAAAGGCCACAUUCAGCUAUCAUUUGAGUUUCUUUUUGAAAAAUGUGUAUUUUGCCAAGUGGAGAUUGUAUGGUAGGGAUGCUGUUCAUCCCCAGUAUAGGAAAUGUUCUCAGAGUACUUCCUAGCCUAUCAAUGUAAUAUUUCCUAAGUACCUAUCAAGGAUUCAGUGUGAGGUUAUGUGAUGUGGUAAUUAUGAAGAAAUAGAAGACUUGCUAUUAGUCUUCAGAGUGUCUACUUGUAAUGAGUAGAUUAAAUUUUCCACACACUUUUAACAGUGAUUAAGAGGUCAUGACUGUAGAUCCUAAAUGGCGUGUUACAACAUAAAUUCUGUGGAUUGUAGAAGAACAUUAUUAUGCAUUUCAGAGGGACCAGGGCAAGCCUCCCAGAUAGGGUAGAGCCUGAUCUCUUCCUUGAAAACUGGGGUGGGAUUUGGGUGGUGAGGGAGAGCAUGUUUCUAUAGUCCAGCCACAAACAUCUAUUGAGUGCCUGCUAUAUGUCAGAUUCAUGAAUAAGGAAGCAGCAUUGGGGUCUGGAGUAAAGGGUAGUAGGGAAGGCAGCGGCUUUUACAUUUUGAAUUUAUGAAAAUGGGGAGUCACUGAAGAUUUUUGAGUCUGGGAGGAAGCUGA
ensembl:lncRNA